rnacentral:lncRNA from 1 species
GUGUAAGAACAGCUACACCACAGUAUCUUUUUAUCUUUCCGUUUACCUAUGUUUUACAAUUUUUAACCUUGGUUGCAUUGGAGACUAGACCCAGGCAGGUGUAACUCAAUAUGCAUGGAGGAUGGUACAUGAAAUCUCAGAGAUUUAAAGGCUUAUGGUGCAACCAUGUCAUGAGCAAUAACUGCUCUUCAAUCCUGCACUCUUAGUGUAAUUGUAUUUCUCCAUUCAAAAUGGCAAUUGUAUAGCCUACUGUAAAACAUUAAGACUAAUUGCAACGGUGUUUUUUUAUUGAUGUUUUCAUUAACAAAAAGACGAAAAGAUGAAAGCCAUAUUGUCAACUAAAUGCAUUCUCAACUAAAAAUAUGUGGGUCAACACUGACCGCCAGUCAGUGUGAGUAAAGUAAUGUUCACUUUACUUUCAAUGCAUUUUUCUGCAAAAGGUAGGCACACGCAUGUUCAAAAUAAUUUGCAUAUGAACAGCAUUUGUGUGCAUUUACCCUCCACUACACCACUGGUAACAUUCUGUAAAUGAUCUGUUAUUAUACUCUUCUCUAAUACCGCUCUGGAUAAAGGCAAUCUACAAUUUUCUAAGUACAAAUGAAAAACGCUUUUAUUCCCCCAAAAUGUUGCCAUAGCAUCUUUAAUACAUUGUUUACUUGCCGAUUAACAAUCAGUCCAGACAUAGCCAUCGAAAGCAGUCCUAGUGAAGCAUUUGUGUGACGCGGUAGCUACUGAGGUAAUUGUGGUGCUGGCUCUGUUUGUGGUACAAGGUGCAGGCCGCGAUGAAGAUCCUGUAGUAGAAAAUGAAGAUGAGGCCAUGGAGCUGUAGAAGGCCCUGAAGGUGGAGGAGAUGGUGUGGCUGAUGUGGUCAUGCUCUUGUAAUCACGUGUGGUGUGUGUGCGUUCGGUAUCCGGCACCCAUACACUUUCACAAAACGUGUGGUGAAGCUGAGUUGGCUGGGAGGAAGUGAGGCGAUCAUGUUAAUUGAGGGUUCUGGUUAGUAUAUAGCCCUGUCUGUCUCCUCAACUCACCACAUCCACUUAAUCCCUCUCUUAUUGUCUCAACAUCCAGUGGGAUAGUAGUGCCUGGCGUUCCAAACUACUACACAGUACACGGACUAUUGGCAGAGUUGGGAUUACAGCUACAAACAUCUGAUUCUGGUGGAACUGGGGAAAAGAAUGAAGAUUACAGUAGUGAUUUUUUGCUUGGUUGGGGCGGUUUAUGCCAACCCAGUAAGUACCCUUGUUUUUUUAUUGAACAAUCUUAAUUUAUUCACAAUAAAAUGUAAAUGAUGAGUUGAUAUAGAUUUAACACAUCAGACUUUUGUAUUAUUUUGUGUUCUCCUACUGUAUUUGUUUCUUUUGACAGAUUCUGUACAAAGCUAUUUUGGAGCAGAGCGAACUGGAAUCAUCAAACAUGGUAAGUGCUAUCAAAAGAAGCAAUCAAAAGUAUCUGCAGUUUGAUUGUUGUG